rnacentral:lncRNA from 1 species
UACUUCGCAUCUACCCUGAUAUUCACCGCUUCUAUAUGAUCAUAUUUAUAAAUAAAAGUUUAACAGGUCUAUUUUUAGAAUAAAAUUUUAGGAGAAGAUUAUUGCACUAAAAAACCCGCGAGAGGUACACGUAAUGCUUGGGUUUGGGAGAAGAGAAAUAAGAGACGAAGGGGAAAAUCGAAGAGAACGGUGCAGGGACCGUGAUAGGAUCGUGUUGGGUUUGAGAAAAGACGCAAAUGGAUCCGGAUCGGUGGAGCUCCGUCCGAUCCGUCCUAAAUCGACGGUAAAUAAAUCAUUUAAUUGCCAUUCCCAUACAAAAUUUAUAUGAACUAUCGAUAAUUUUGAUUUCGACUAUCUAAUCUUUCAAACAUUUAAUUUUACCCCCCAACUUUUUAAUUUAUUUGAUUUAAAUCAUUUAAUAGUCAUUCCGAUACAAAAUUAAAGCUACUUGUUUACUUUAAUAAACUAGUUAAGUGCACGUGCAAUGCACGUCGCACAAAUACUAAAAAAUAAAUUUUUUAUAAAUAAAUAUUAUAGAUUCGAUAUAUAAUAUUUAAUCAUUACCAAAAUAAAAUACCAGAAAUAGAAAAUAUAAUUACAAUAUCAUCAAAGAAAGAACACAAAAUCUAUCAUGAUAUCAUUGAAAAAAAACACAAAAUUCGUCACUAAACUAACUGAAAAUGUCAACAUCAGUCUCCCUUCCGUACAUAUUGCACUGAAAGUAAGAAAAAUAAUGAGUAAAUCAUCAGAAUAGAUGAAAUUAAUAAAAAAUAUAAAUUUAAUAAGAAUUCAUAUAAGUAAAUAAAAAUUUAUAGCUUGAUUUUAUUUCUUGAGUUUUUGGAAUAGAUGGAUUAAGCACAAUUUUACUCACAAAACUUUGCUAAAUAAAUUAACCCUGAUAAAUAAAUUUGAAAAACUACAGAAAAAAUAAAAUAUUAAAAAGCACAUUUAUCCUAAUUAUCGAUAUUAACGUGCACUGUUUUAAUACACAACUGAAUUGUUUGCAAUAGCGUCUCUCCACAUGCCAAUGUGUGUUAGCACUUGUCCUAAAGGAUCAAUCUAAUUCGAUUCAUACUUCAAUCCAUCCAAAUAAUUAGUUAUUAAUAAUUUUUUCAUGUCAAUGUGUGUUAGCAUUAUUUUGUCCUAGAGGAUCAAUCUAAUUCGAUUCAAACGUUAAUCAAUCCAAAUAAUUAGUUAUUAAUAAUUUUUUUUAUGUGAAAUGAUAAAAAGAGAAACACUUUAUCUUCACGUUUAGAACGAUUAACACCAUACAAAUAAAGAGUGAUUGAUUGGACAACUAUUUCUACAACAUCUAAGAAAACUAAAAUAGUAUAGAAAUUAGUAGUAGUAUAGAAGGUGGCGAAGGCGACAAUGUGUUGGCGCCGAUGACGACUAUAACGAUGAGGAAAAUGAUGACAAUGGGGACAAAUGAGAAAUAAUAUUACUAAAAAAAUAUUUGAGAAUAUUUGAGAAAAAUUUAGAUAAAAAUAAAAAAGAAUAUUACUUAAUAAAUAUAUAUUUUAUAUUUGAAAAAUAUAUAGGUAAAAAUGAGAAAUUACAAAAAAAAAAGGCUAAAACAGUAUAAAGGCACAUUAAAAAAAACAAUUCAGAUGAAAUUAAAAUACCUCUCUAAUUAUGACAAAGGCGAUAAUGUACCGACGUUAGUGAUGUGAUGAUGUACCAGUGUCGACGACGGAGAUAAAUAAAAAAGAAUAUUAUUAAAAAAAUAUUUGAAAAUAUUUAAGAAAAAUAAUAGUAAAAAUGAAAAAAAAAUAUUACUAAAAAAAUAUACUUUAUAUUUGUGAAAUAUAUAAGUAAAAAUAAGAAAUACUAAAAAAAAAUACUAAAACAGUAUAAAGAUAUAUUAAAAAAAGAGAAAUUUUCAGAUGGGAUCAAAAUAUCUCUUCAAUUGUGCGAAGGCGGUGAAGGUGGCGAAGGCGAUAAUGUGUCGGCGUCGGUGAUAAUGAUGACGAUGUACCAGUGUCGACAAUAGGGACAAAUGAGAAAGUAUAUUAAAAAAAAUAUUUUAAAAUAUUUAAAAAAUAUAUAGAUAAAAAUAAAAAUAUAUAUUACUAAAAAAUAUAUACUUUAUAUUUGAGAAACGUAUAUAUGAAAAUAAGAAAAAAAAAAAAAAUACUAAAACAGUAUAAAGGCGUAUUAAAAAAAGAAAAAAUUUCAGAUAGAAUUAAAAUACCUCUUUAAUUAUGACGAAGGUGGUGAACGCGAUAAUGUACCGGCACAAAUAAUGAUGAUGAGUAGGACGAUGACGAUAUACCGCUGUAAUAAAUGAGAAAAGAUAUUACUAAAGAAAUAUUUGAAAAAAAUAUAGAUAAAAAUAAAAAAGGAUACUAUUACAAAAAUCUAUAUUUAUAUAUAAGAAAUGUAUAGCUGAAAAUGAGAAAAUACCAAAAAAAAAUAUGCUAAUAAAAAAGAUUUGAUAUAUAUAUUAUGUGAUAAAUAUUAUGAUGAGAUAAGAUGUAAUAACCGAGAUUAUUAGUAAUAAAAAAAUUAAACCUUUUGUUGACAAUGUUUUUAUGUGUAAUAUAAUUACAUAGUCACUCGUCAAAUUUCAGGUGAAAAUGAGUU